AUACUUACCUGGCAGGGGAGACACCAUGAUCAGGAAGGUGGUUCACCCAGGGCGAGGCUCAGCCACUUGCACUUCGGCUGUUGUGCUGACCUUUGCGAAUUCCCCAAAUGUGGGAAUCUCGACUGCAUAAUUUCUGGUAGUGGGGACUGCGUUCGCGCUCUCCCCUA